rnacentral:rRNA from 1 species
AUGAACGCUGGCGGCGUGCCUAAUACAUGCAAGUCGAGCGAACGGACGAGAAGCUUGCUUCUCUGAUGUUAGCGGCGGACGGGUGAGUAACACGUGGAUAACCUACCUAUAAGACUGGGAUAACUUCGGGAAACCGUAGCUAAUACCGGAUAAUAUUUUGAACCGCAUGGUUCAAAAGUGAAAGACGGUCUUGCUGUCACUUAUAGAUGGAUCCGCGCUGCAUUAGCUAGUUGGUAAGGUAACGGCUUACCAAGGCAACGAUGCAUAGCCGACCUGAGAGGGUGAUCGGCCACACUGGAACUGAGACACGGUCCAGACUCCUACGGGAGGCAGCAGUAGGGAAUCUUCCGCAAUGGGCGAAAGCCUGACGGAGCAACGCCGCGUGAGUGAUGAAGGUCUUCGGAUCGUAAAACUCUGUUAUUAGGGAAGAACAUAUGUGUAAGAAACUGUGCACAUCUUGACGGUACCUAAUCGGAAAGCCACGGCUAACUACGUG